UCCCUUGUAGCUUAGCUGGUAAAGAAUCUGCCUGAAAUGCAGGAGACCUGGGUUUGAUCCCUGGGUUGGGAA
rnacentral:tRNA from 1 species